UUGGCGCCCCGGCCUUCAGGCGGGUAUUUUUGGGCGUGGCUUUGCCCACGGCCUAUGUUUGGCACACGGAGGACCCUCGCAAAGUCUCGCGGCAUUCCGAGUCCGGCGGACGAAGUCGGCCCCCCCACCCCCCAAGGCUAUAGCCCACCCGUUUUUGUGGCCUUUUUCCGCUGAACGAACUUGGCGCCCCAGCCUUCGGGCGGUUAUUUUUGGGCGCGGCUUUUCCCGGGGCCUAUUUUGGCACACGGAGGCCCCU
rnacentral:lncRNA from 1 species